rnacentral:rRNA from 1 species
UGAGCAAUCUGCCCUUCUCAUCGGAAUAAGCGUUGGAAACGACGUCUAAUGCCGAAUACGACCUCCUUUCGCAUGAUCGGAGGUGGAAAGCUCCGGCGGAGAAGGAUGAGCUCACGGCCUAUCAGCUAGUUGGUGUGGGUAAUGGCCCACCAAGGCGACGACGGGUAGCCGGCCUGAGAGGGUGACCCGGCCACACUGGGACUGAGACACGGCCCAGACUCCUACGGGAGCAG